CCUACGGGAGACAGCAGUGAGGAAUAUUGGUCAAUGGCCGGAAGGCUGAACCAGCCAAGCCGCGUGAGGGAGGAAGGCGCAGAGCGUCGCAGACCUCUUUUGCCGGGGGACAAAAGGCCGGACUCGUCCGGUCCUGAGGGUACCCGGAGAAAAAGCAUCGGCUAACUCCGUGCCAGCAGCCGCGGUAAUACGGAGGAUGCGAGCGUUAUCCGGAUUCAUUGGGUUUAAAGGGUGCGCAGGCGGGCCUUUAAGCCGGCGGUGAAAUCGCGGGGCUCAACCCCGGCGAGCCGUUGAAACUGGCUGGCUUGAGAUGUCGAGAGGUAUGCGGAAUGCGCAGUGUAGCGGUGAAAUGCUUAGAUAUUGCGCAGAACUCCGAUUGCGAAGGCAGCAUACCGGCGGCGAUCUGACGCUGAGGCACGAAAGCGUGGGUAUCGAACAGGAUUAGAUACCCUAGUAGUC
rnacentral:rRNA from 1 species